rnacentral:rRNA from 1 species
GGGGCCCGCACAAGCGGUGGAGCAUGUGGUUUAAUUCGUUGCUACACGAAGAACCUUACCUGGGUUUGACAUAUAGGUUGUAGGGAACUGAAAGGGACCGACCCUUCGGGGAGCCUAUACAGGUGUUGCAUGGCUGUCGUCAGCUCGUGUCGUGAGAUGUUCGGUUAAGUCCGCUAACGAGCGCAACCCUCGUCGUAUGUUAUAUGUGUCAUACGAGACUGCCGGUAAAAGCCGGAGGAAGGUGAGGAUGAUGUCAAGUCAGCAUGACCUUUAUAUCCAGGGCUACACACACGCUACAAUGGUCUGUACAAUGGGUAGCCAAGCCGCGAGGCGGAGCCAAUCCUGAAAGCAGGCCUCAGUUCAGAUUGCAGUCUGCAACUCGACUGCAUGAAGCCGGAGUUGCUAGUAACCGCAGGUCAGCAAUACUGCGGUGAAUACGUUCCCGGGUCUU